UGGGGAAUCUUGGACAAUGGGGGCAACCCUGAUCCAGCCAUGCCGCGUGAGUGAUGAAGGCCUUAGGGUCGUAAAGCUCUUUCGCCUGUGAAGAUAAUGACGGUAGCAGGUAAAGAAACCCCGGCUAACUCCGUGCCAGCAGCCGCGGUAAUACGGAGGGGGUUAGCGUUGUUCGGAAUUACUGGGCGUAAAGCGCACGUAGGCGGACCAGAAAGUUGGGGGUGAAAUCCCGGGGGCUCAACCCCGGAACUGCCUCCAAAACUAUUGGUCUAGAGUUCGAGAGAGGUGAGUGGGAAUUCCAAGUGUAGAGGUGAAAUUCGUAGAUAUUUGGAGGAACACCAGUGGCGAAGGCGGCUCACUGGCUCGAUACUGACGCUGAGGUGCGAAAGUGUGGGGAGCAAACAGGAUUAGAUACCCCUGGUAGUCCACACCGUAAAACGAUGAAUGCCAGUCGUCGGGUAGCAUGCUAUUCGGUGACACACCUAACGGAUUAAGCAUUCCGCCUGGGGAGUACGGUCGCAAGAUUAAAACUCAAA
rnacentral:rRNA from 1 species